UUGAUUCAAAAUUGUUAAAAUAAAUCUUAUCAAUAUAUGUUUUCAUACACCGAUUAUUUAGUGUCGUUUCGCUUUAAUCCACCCCAAAGGAAUUUUUGAUAAAACCUGGGUUACCCCCCCUCUUUUCCUGGGGCAGGUCGUAACAUUUUUGGCGUCACGGACAGGAUCCUUUGGAUAUAGUGGAGUAAUCGGUGUAGUCUAAAACUGGUACCGAGGGCGAGUUAAAUGGUGACUGUCCCCUCGCAGUAAAAUUAUAGUAAGAAUUUUUCUCCUCUCGGUGUGACCCGGGCACAUCAGACUUGUUGAAAGGUUUCCUGGUGUGGCCUGGACCUGUUGAAAGGUUCUCUGGUACCUGGACCUGUUGAAAGGUUUUCCAGGAGAGAGUCAAACCAGCCCUCAGAGGGUUAAGGGGGAGAAAGACAUUAACCUAAGCUGGGUUAAUGACUGAGGCAAAGGGGAUGAUGACACCCCAGGUUGAGUUAUAUGGGGAUUAUUCCCUCCUGAUAGCUAUCCUUGGUUUAGAACUGUUUUUUGUGGGUGCUGUCUUAGGCGUGUUCCUUAGAGCAGUGCAAAGGCAAAAAUCAGCUAUUCAGAAAUCUGUAAGUGAAGUGAUAAAAUCUUUCCAAGAGUCAAUGAGAACUUUGCAGGACCAGCUAGAAAAAGAGGCUAUUCAAAAAUCUACCGGUGAGGUGAUAAGGUCUCUUCAAGAGACAAUGAAGGCAUUACAGGAGCAAUUAGGAAAAGAACGCCUGCAGUUAACUGCUGAACGUCAGGCACUGGAGAAAGAGAGAGAGAUUAACUCAUUGCUUAGGUCAGCCCUUGAAGAUGAGGAGGAACAAAAUGAAAGGCUUAAACAGAUACUGGAAAUGAAAAAUUGUGAAUUGCGAGACAUUAAUUCAAAAUACCCUAAACCGGUAGAUGUUAACGAAUCCCUGUACCCCUCUGGGGAAUUAGAAGAGUUGAAGCAAAGUUACCCGGAGGAGGGGGUAAUACAUAUGCGUCCCCUCAUUAAAACUGAAACCACUGGCCAGGGGACAGACAGGCAAACUACCACACGAACUACCCCGUACACGGGGGAAGCACUGGCCAAAAUUCAGGAAAAAUACAGUCGUAAGGCCAGUGAAUCAGAGACUGAAUAUGUGUGGAGGGUGUCCCUUACUGGGGGAGAUCGGAUUUUGUUGAGUGAAGAUGAGGCCAGAGGAUUUUGGGGCCCAGGGGUUUUCCUGACCACAAAUGAUAACCGAGCUCCGUGGUCCCUGACCCAAAGAGCUGCCUACUGGGCAGGUGGGUUAGACCCUAUAGAAAGGGGAGAUCCUUACACGAUUAAAACACCCACAAUUGGCCACAUUGUAAAAAGUGUACAAAAAACCGCAUAUCUCCAGUUAAUGCAUACAAAAUUAUUAGACCCACAACGAAAUUCCCCAAUGGAACUCGAGGCAGAUCCACAGAGAUUUCCAGUUUUAAUUCGAGGCCUGCCUGAUGCACUAAAAGUUUAUGCUAAACAAUUACAGGAGCGCAUAAAGGCAACCCCCAGACCUAGAAGAAGGGGUGCUCCAUCAGGAAUAACCUGGUUGGAAAUAGCCCAAGAAUUAAUAGCUACUGGUCAGCAGCUGGGGCUCUCUGGUACGAGUGGCCAGAGAAUACACUGCAGGAGGGCAGGGAAAGUCCAAAAACCUGCCUCGCCAGGUAUUUGUCAACAAAAUGUGUCAUCUAGCGGGAGAAAGAGAUACAGUCUGUGGAGAGAAGGUGUUGCAAAAGGAAUUCCUCGAGAAGUGAUGGAUAAAUUACCCACUGCUAAUUUAGAAUACUUGAUAAAGCAGUGGGAUAAGAUCAAAGAGCACAAGGCACCCCCUAAGGGCAGCCCCUCUAAGGAGUCCAACACUGUGAUCCCCUCAGCCUCUCCAGAAACUGGACUAACCAGUUUGAGCAGUUCUGAGUCAAGGAACUGGACUUACUGCUCUCCAGUAAAUAAGCCAAAAAAUAGCCAGUGGGUUUAUGAGGGAAAGCUUACAGAAAACAACCAGGGAGAUUUGGUAAUCACUUUUCCUCUCGGCCCUUUUAAAUCUUUGGUUACAUUCGUGGUAGACACGGGUGCACAAGUCUCAGCACUCCAAACUGAAGCUGCUAUUCAGUGUGGCAUUAAACCAGACAAAAAAAAGAUAUGGGUAACUGAUGCUUUUGGCAAAUCCCGACCCCAGUACACUGCUCGAGUGAAAUGCUGGUUACCUGGAGAUGAGACAGCCACAGAAACUAUCAUGAUUGUGGGGCCAUUACCAGCUAACAUCCUGGGGUUAGAUCUCCUAAAGGGGAAGGCCUGGACAGACACCAGAGGGAGAGAAUGGGUGUUUGGUCUCCCAUCCCCCUCUCAUGCUCUGAGUUUAUUUGUUUUUUGGAGAAAACAUGUUCCAAACUUCUCUAUUAUUACUGCCCUAGUGACAUUAUGCCAGAUAAGAAAAGGAGUUGGAUAAAUAGAUUCUUCCUUCUUUUUAACAAUCGGUCCGUAGUGGGCCAGAUUUGUUCUUUUGCAGAAACCUACCAGCAGAGGAGAUAACCUGCCAGCAGAAGAGAUCAAACUGCAUGAAACCAAUGGAGCAUCAAUUGCAGCAAGAGGCAGAAGAGAUAACUGCCCCCACAACUGCUUCUAUUAUCAGCUUACAAGUAUCCCAUGAGAAAACGAAAUAGCAACAGGACUGAAGACUUAUACUGUUCUUUGACAUGUAUUUAUGUUUUUAUCUUAAUAACUUUGUAAUAUGCAUGCCUGUA